rnacentral:snRNA from 1 species
AUUGCUUCUUGGCCUUUUGGCUGAGGUCAGCUGUACUGUCUGUUCUGAUACGUUUAAUAUCUGAUAUGUUCUCUGUCCGAGGACAGUCUUGUAAAUGGAUGUAUUAAUAAGUUCAUAAGGAAGAGAUACAGUUGGUAUAGCAUUA